UACAGAGACCUCAAGCGUUAUCCGGAAUUAUUGGGCGUAAAGCGUACCGAUAGGUGGUCAUGAUAGUCUUGGGUGAAAGCCCGAAGCUCAACUUCGGAUUUGCUUAAGAUACUUCACGACUAGAGGGGCAAAGAGGAGACUGGAACGAACGGUGUAGUAGUGAAAUGCGUUGAUAUCGUUCGGAACACCGAAAGCGAAGGCAGGUCUCUGGGUGCCACCUGACACUGCUAGGACGAAAGCGUGGGGAGCGAAUGGG
rnacentral:rRNA from 1 species